UCUCACGGGAUACGGAGAUUAAAAAGGAAUCGGGUGAAAAUCCCGGACAGUCCCGCUGCUGUGAGUUCCAUUACACAUGCACAAGCCAUCUUUUAAGCCACUGGUUUUUACUGGGAAGGCCGCUUGUUGCCGGAACAAGUCAGAAGACCUGCCAUACAC
rnacentral:ncRNA from 1 species